rnacentral:rRNA from 1 species
AGGGCACCACCAGGAGUGGAGCCUGCGGCUUAAUUUGACUCAACACGGGAAAACUCACCCGGCCCGGACACUGGAAGGGUUGACAGAUUGAGAGCUCUUUCUUGAUUCAGUGGGUGGUGGUGCAUGGCCGUUCUUAGUUGGUGGAGUGAUUUGUCUGGUUAAUUCCGAUAACGAACGAGACUCUAGCCUACUAAAUAGAUCGUCGGCUUACAAACGCCGGCGAGACUUCUUAGAGGGACAGGCGGUGAUUCAACCGCACGAAACAGAGCAAUAACAGGUCUGUGAUGCCCUUAGAUGUCCGGGGCCGCACGCGCGCUACACUGAAGUGAUCAGCGUGCUUUUUCAACCUACUCUGUCAAGAGUGGGGAACCCAAUGAACCUUCUUCGUGAUUGGGAUAGGGGAUUGUAAUUAUUCCCCUUGAACGAGGAAUUCCCAGUAAGCGCGAGUCAUAAGCUCGCGUUGAUUACGUCCCUGCCCUUUGUACACACCGCCCGUCGCUACUACCGAUUGAAUGUUUU